rnacentral:rRNA from 1 species
AUACGGAGGGUGCAAACGUUAAUCGGAAUUACUUGGCGUAAAGCGCGCGUAGGUGGUUUAGUAAGUCGGAUGUGAAAGCCCUGGGCUCAACCUGGGAAUUGCAUUCGAUACUGCUUGACUAGAGUAUGGUAGAGGGAAGUGGAAUUUCCGGUGUAGCGGUGAAAUGCGUAGAUAUCGGAAGGAACACCAGUGGCGAAGGCGACUUCCUGGGCCAAUACUGACGCUGAGGUGCGAAAGCGUGGGGAGCAAACAGGAUUAGAUACCCCAGUAGUCC